CGACCUUGCCUCGUGGUGGGGGAUAGCCGGCCCCAACGGCCGGGUAAUACCGCAUAUGGUAGUUCUUUCGCAUGGGAGAACUAGCAAAGCUGAGUUGCAAGACUUGGCGCCACAGGGGGGGCUCGCGGCCUAUCAGCUAGUUGGGGGGGUAAGUGGCCCACCAAGGCGACGACGGGUAGCUGGUCUGAGAGGAUGGCCAGCCACAUUGGGACUGAGAGACGGCCCAG
rnacentral:rRNA from 1 species